UCUGCCUCUAGAGGGAUUGCACGUGUGGCUGCUGUGUCACGUGUAGGUCAGUAGGUGGCAGAGAGGAGGGAGGCCAUGUCUGUGCUCCGUGUUCUGAACUGUGAACAUCUGAAUGAUAAGCAGCCUAAAAUU
ensembl:snoRNA LOC120096808 small nucleolar RNA SNORA17